UUUUAACUAUGUUCCUGUGUCCAAGCCUUUAUGUGUAGUUUUAAUGCACAUGAAGCUAUUAGUCAUGAGUGUUUAUCUUAAUGCAUGGUGUGCAGAAAGAAAGCUGUGUCUCAUCGGACCUCUAUAGGUUGAUGCUUGGUGAAGAGGAAGAUGAUGCUACCAGCGAGUUAGUUGCACCUAAGCCUAACCAUGAUGCUAAAAAAUAUGAUGUAGAUGCUGCUAAAUAACAUGAUGUCGCUCGUUUUCAGAAGGUAAAUAUUUUCCUUAAGAUAUCUUGUUCAUGUGAUAGACUCUUGACUGGUAGUGUUUCUAACAGUACGAACCUUCUCAUGAAUCCAUUUUACAAUAUGGGUGGUUUGUCAUUUAUCUUGUUGUUGGCUCAAAGUAACUUGUUCUGCCCAAGUUAGGAUUAGUGCUGUCAUUGAAUAUUCUAUUUCCCCCUGGAUUUUCUUUGAGAGUAAACAUGGUGUUGUCCUACUAUUUUUCUUCUUAAGAAACAUAGCAGAAGAUGGCUGUAAAUGUUCUUUUUCCUUUUGAACCAUAAAAUUUUAAAAUUAUAUGGCUGUGUUACUAGUUGCUGAGUGUGCUGACAAUGGUGAUUAGUCUAUAAGUGUAUCCAGAAAGUUCUUUUGGAAGUACCUCAAAAUUUGAAAUAUGUGAACAUUAUUCAGUGUUCCCUAGUCCUCAUUAUGUAUCAAUCAAACAAGUGUCCCACCAAAUUAGCUAGGGACAAAUUUAUGUAUCCGUUGCAACCAUUCUACUAUAUUGUUCAUUCGGUAUUCAAAGGAUCAUGAUAGCUAGACUAUUUUCCUAUUGAUCUUUAACCUAUUAGGAUGUUUUUCCUUUAAUCCCUGCUGGGAUCAGUUGUGCUUUACAAAGUACAGAGUUGUUGAGUUUCUUUGUCUAUGUGAUAAAUAUAAAUAAAGCUAUUCGUACCAAAGUCAAACUUAUGAUGCUGGGGUUCUUGAAGAGCUGGUCCAGCAGAUGCUUCAUGAGUGAAAGGCUAAGCUCAAUGAGCCUUCUUCUACUUCUUCUUUGCAAGCAAUAACUAAUCUUAUAUCUCUUUAGCGGGGUAUGCCAAGUGGUUUUAGUUUCGUUUAUUGCCCAUAAUGUCCCAUGUUAUGAUAUUAUCUGGUAUACAUUAGUCUUAGAUUAAUGGAUCAAAUUUGUCUUUAUUUGCGUGUUUAUGAUAUCUAAUGUUAUGUUUGGUUUAACCAUCUUUAGAAAAUCCUUACUAAAAAUUUGGAUCUAUUAUACGUGCAAACUUGAAUCACUAUAAAUGUAAUUGUAUCGCAUUGUUCAUUAUAGUGUAAUUAUGUGCAAUUAUUGAUACUAGUGUUUUAACUAUGUUCCUGUGUCCAAGCCUUUAUGUGUAGUUUUAAUGCACAUGAAGCUAUUAGUCAUGAGUGUUUAUCUUAAUGCAUGGUGUGCAGAAAGAAAGCUGUGUCUCAUCGGACCUCUAUAGGUUGAUGCUUGGUGAAGAGGAAGAUGAUGCUACCAGCGAGUUAGUUGCACCUAAGCCUAACCAUGAUGCUAAAAAAUAUGAUGUAGAUGCUGCUAAAUAACAUGAUGUCGCUCGUUUUCAGAAGGUAAAUAUUUUCCUUAAGAUAUCUUGUUCAUGUGAUAGACUCUUGACUGGUAGUGUUUCUAACAGUACGAACCUUCUCAUGAAUCCAUUUUACAAUAUGGGUGGUUUGUCAUUUAUCUUGUUGUUGGCUCAAAGUAACUUGUUCUGCCCAAGUUAGGAUUAGUGCUGUCAUUGAAUAUUCUAUUUCCCCCUGGAUUUUCUUUGAGAGUAAACAUGGUGUUGUCCUACUAUUUUUCUUCUUAAGAAACAUAGCAGAAGAUGGCUGUAAAUGUUCUUUUUCCUUUUGAAC
rnacentral:lncRNA from 1 species